GAUGAAGAACGCAGCGAAAUGCGAUACGUAAUGUGAAUUGCAGAAUUCAGUGAAUCAUCGAAUCUUUAAACGCAUAUUGCGCUCUCUGGUAUUCCGGAGAGCAUGCUUGUUUGAGUAUCAGUAAACACCUCAACUUCCAUAUCUUUUUUGAAAUGGGAGUUGGACUUGAGUGAUCCCAACGCUUUUCCUCACCGAAAAGUGGCGGGUUACUUGAAAUGCAGGUGCAGCUGGACUUUUCUCUGAGCUAUAAGCAUAUCUAUUUAGUCUGCCUAAAAAACAGAUUAUUACCUUUGCUGCAGCUAACAUAAAGGAGAUUAGUUCUUGUGCUGACUGAUGCAGGAUUCACAAAGACAGGCUUCGGCCGACUUUGUAAACUCGAUCUCAAAUCAAGUAAGACUACCCGCUGAACUUAAGCAUAUCAAUAAGCGGAGGA
rnacentral:misc_RNA from 1 species